rnacentral:misc_RNA from 1 species
AAAUGCGAUAAUUAAUGUGAAUUGCAGAAUUCAGUGAAUCAUCGAGUCUUUGAACGCACAUUGUGCCCCCUGGUAUUCCGGGGGGCAUGCCUGUCCGAGCGUCAUUGCUGCCCUCAAGCACGGCUUGUGUGUUGGGCUUCCGUCCCUGGCAACGGGGACGGGCCCAAAAGGCAGUGGCGGCACCAUGUCUGGUCCUCGAGCGUAUGGGGCUUUGUCACCCGCUCCCGUAGGUCCAGCUGGCAGCUAGCCUCGCAACCAAUCUUUUUAACCAGGUUGACCUCGGAUCAGGUAGGGAUACCCGCUGAACUUAAGC